GGCCGUUCUUGGGUGACACACCCCGGAAUCAGGCUCCCUCCUCUGGUUUCAGGUGCAUCACCUGAGAACCUCA
rfam:Myotis davidii contig233351, whole genome shotgun sequence.